rnacentral:tRNA from 1 species
AGGGUAAUAGCUCAGUGGUAGAGCACAUGCUUAGCAUGCACUAGGUCCUGGGUUCAAUCCCCAGUACCUCCA